UACGUAGGGGGCAAGCGUUGUCCGGAAUCAUUGGGCGUAAAGAGCGUGUAGGCGGCCCGGUAAGUCCGCUGUGAAAGUCGGGGGCUCAACCCUCGGAAGCCGGUGGAUACUGUCGAACUAGAGUCCGGAAGAGGCGAGUGGAAUUCCUGGUGUAGCGGUGAAAUGCGCAGAUAUCAGGAGGAACACCGAUGGCGAAGGCAGCUCGCUGGGACGGUACUGACGCUGAGACGCGAAAGCGUGGGGAGCAAACAGG
rnacentral:rRNA from 1 species